rnacentral:tRNA from 1 species
GGGGAUGUAGUUUAAUGGUAGAACACCUGCCUUGCACGCAGGUAACGAGGGUUCGACUCCCUCCUUCUCCA